AUUGAACGCUGGCGGCAUGCCUAACACAUGCAAGUCGAGCGAGCGGCGGACGGGUGAGUAAUGUGUGGGGACUGCCCGCUAGAGGGGGAUAACUACUGGAAACGGUAGCUAAUACCGCCUACUAUCGGAUAACACAUAUGGGAUUAGCUAGUGGGUGAGGUAAUGGCUCACAAAGGCAACGAUCCGUAGCUGGUUUGAGAGGACGACCAGCCACACGGGGACUGAGACACGGCCCAGACUCCUACGGAGGCAGCAGUGGGGAAUUUUGGACAAUGGGGGAAACCCUGAUCCAGCCAUCCCGCGUGUAUGAGGAAGGCCUUCGGGUUGUAAAGUACUUUUGGCAGAGAAGCGGUAUCUGCAGAAUAAGCACCGGCUAACUACGUGCCAGCAGCCGCGGUAAUUC
rnacentral:rRNA from 1 species